ACUAACGAUGGCGGCGCCGGGAAGCGACAGGCUGCUGGGCUUAAGGCGGGAGUGACCGCUUAACCAGUGAGGGAAGCACUGAAGAGCGCCAGUCGACGUGGGUGCGACAACUCGCGGAGUCUUAGGAGCAAAACGUCUGGGGCCUGCGAGCCAGGACCCUUCUGAAGCCUUAGGUGUCUGUCGGCGACGUGUACGGUCACUGCAGCUCCGGAGCGCGGAACCCUCAGCCAGGAGGCGCGGCUGGUCGGUCCCAGGUCCCGGCCUCCGUAAUGAGAGCCCGGAACCACUCUUUGUGCCGCAGCUUCACAGAUUCCUAUAGGCAAUGGAAACUGAUCUCAAUUCCCAGGACAGAAAGGACCUGGACAAGUUUAUUAAAUUUUUUGCCCUCAAGACUGUCCAAGUGAUUGUCCAGGCUCGACUUGGUGAAAAGAUUUGCACUCGUUCAUCAUCUUCUCCAACGGGUUCAGAUUGGUUCAACUUAGCAAUCAAAGACAUCCCAGAGGUUACACAUGAAGCAAAGAAGGCACUGGCAGGGCAGCUGCCUGCGGUCGGGAGGUCCAUGUGUGUGGAGAUUUCACUUAAGACUUCUGAGGGAGAUUCCAUGGAGCUGGAAAUAUGGUGUCUUGAAAUGAAUGAAAAGUGUGAUAAAGAAAUCAAAGUUUCCUACACGGUGUACAACAGACUGUCAUUGCUGCUGAAGUCCCUUCUUGCUAUAACUAGGGUGACACCAGCCUAUAGGCUCUCCAGGAAACAAGGGCAUGAAUAUGUCAUAUUAUACAGGAUAUAUUUUGGAGAAGUUCAGCUGAGUGGCUUAGGAGAAGGCUUCCAGACAGUUCGUGUUGGGACAGUGGGCACCCCUGUGGGCACCAUCACUCUUUCUUGUGCUUACAGAAUUAACUUGGCAUUCAUGUCUACCAGGCAAUUUGAGAGGACCCCACCUAUCAUGGGGAUUAUUAUUGAUCACUUUGUGGACCGUCCCUAUCCCAGCUCCUCUCCCAUGCACCCCUGCAAUUACAGAACUGCUGGUGAGGACACUGGAGUAAUAUACCCAUCUGUAGAAGACUCUCAAGAAGUGUGUACCACCUCUUUUUCCACCUCCCCACCAUCCCAGGUAGGGGGAAGCAGGUUCUGGGGUGGUGGUAGUUUUUUGGUAUAUAUAUGGGCUUUAUGAAAUGGUGUCCAAAUUUAGCUACAAUCCCUUUUGAUAGUGGUGGUGAUUGUUUCAAAGGGGUUACUUUGAGGGGUAAGAGAGAGCCUUCUUGUCCAGAAGAUAGUAUUUCUAGUCUGUAAUUAUUCAUAACCUUCAAGAUUACAUUUAGCCCUUACCUUCCUGGUGACAUCUUAAAAUUCCCUAGAACAUCAGUCACAGAAUUCCAAAUGCAUUCUGACACCAGAGAUUUUGUCUAACUUACACUUGUUAACUUCAUAGCUACUUCUCUAUUGAGUGGUAAAUUUCAUUUCUAGUAAUGGAAGAGGCCCCAAAGAGCCAAAAAUUAUUUAGCAUAAAAUGACAGGGAGAAACCAGUAGUACAACUUUUCUUUAUAGUUGACACAGAUUUCUGCUUGUGUGUAUUCCUUAUCCAGACAUUUUUAACCAUUAACUUUUCCACUUCAGUCUUCAGUGGCAAACCCAGUUUCAUAAAACACAGGCUCCA
rnacentral:sRNA from 1 species